rnacentral:rRNA from 1 species
AGUGAACGCUGGCGGUAGGCCUAACACAUGCCAGUCGAACGGCAGCACAGUAAGAGCUUGCUCUUACGGGUGGUGAGUGGCGGACGGGUGAGGAAUACAUCGGAAUCUACUUUUUCGUGGGGGAUAACGUAGGGAAACUUACGCUAAUACCGCAUACGACCUACGGGUGAAAGCAGGGGAUCUUCGGACCUUGCGCGAUUGAAUGAGCCGAUGUCGGAUUAGCUAGUUGGCGGGGUAAAGGCCCACCAAGGCGACGAUCCGUAGCUGGUCUGAGAGGAUGAUCAGCCACACUGGAACUGGGACACGGUCCAGACUCCUACGGGAGGCAGCAGUGGGGAAUAUUGGACAAUGGGCGCAAGCCUGAUCCAGCCAUACCGCGUGGGUGAAGAAGGCCUUCGGGUUGUAAAGCCCUUUUGUUGGGAAAGAAAAGCAGCAGGUUAAUACCCCGCUGUUCUGACGGUACCCAAAGAAUAAGCACCGGCUAACUUCGUG